CCUGGGGGGUCUGGAAUCUCCCUUUGCCCCCGCUCCGUUCUCCGGCCGCUGCGGAGAGGAGGAGCCGCUCCGCCGGCUCUGCGGCCGACCGACCGGAAGGCGCCUCGUCCUGUUUCGCGUUCAGAGAAGCGCCUUUCCUAAGGGAGGCCGGCUCAGUGGCGGGGAUGUCGGUGAUGUAAUGAGGGCAUCUACGCAGAGGCUUCCGCGCUGGGGAAGGCUUCUCUGGCUGCCCAGGGCUUGGAAAUCCAACCAGAGCCUCCAGGAGCGUCUCCUGCCCUCCUGCUGGCCCCCAGACCCCAUCAUACAUCCCAGCCUCCUGCCACAGGCACCUGGUCUUGUGGCUACUUAGAUGGGGGUGGGGGACACGGGCACCGGCCACAAUGCAUCCUCCCCUCCCUGUACCCAGACACACUGGACUUGACGUGUUUCGCUCCCACGGGACAGGCGUGCAUAGGUCCCCACCUCCUUGCCCCAUUCAGCAUGUGGCAGAGGUCUCGGCAGUGCCCCUUGUUCCACCACUGUGACGGUGCACACACCUGCAGCUUCAGCGGCCACACACACACCCACUGGCCUGCCCCGAGUCCACACUCACCAGAGGCCCCCUGGAUCAGGCUCAGUUUACCAGGAUAAGCCACAGGACACGUGGCCUGAGGGCCAUUGAGGAAGAGGGAACAAGGAAGGGAGGGAGAGAAGGGUGGCCUCUCCACGCCCAGUUUAGGAGGCUCCAUUUGAACAAGGCAGAAGCCAUCCCUCUUUUGUCUUCUCUGGGCACCUGUCCGUCACCACUGCCCUGCUGCACCUUCCCUGGAGGAUGCUCAGGAAUUUGGGACAGCCACAUAGCAUUCAGCGUAAACCCAGGCUCCAGAUCCCCCCUGCCUCCCUGCAUCUGGUCACCUGUGUGCCUCUCUGCCCAGCCACCUGCCUUCCAGCCUCACCUCCAGAUUGCACUGGGCCCAGGAGCAUGUCUGGACACCUGCCUCCAUCAGGCGGCUCAUCACACCCAGCUCCAGAGAGAGAGGACUGAGAAUAGCAGAAUGGAAUGAAAAUAAUACCUCCAG